rnacentral:rRNA from 1 species
GUUUGACUGGGGCGGUCGCCUCCUAAAAGGUAACGGAGGCGCUCAAAGGUUCCCUCAGAAUGGUUGGAAAUCAUUCAUAGAGUGUAAAGGCAUAAGGGAGCUUGACUGCGAGACCUACAAGUCGAGCAGGGUCGAAAGACGGACUUAGUGAUCCGGUGGUUCCGCAUGGAAGGGCCAUCGCUCAACGGAUAAAAGCUACCCCGGGGAUAACAGGCUUAUCUCCCCCAAGAGUUCACAUCGACGGGGAGGUUUGGCACCUCGAUGUCGGCUCAUCGCAUCCUGGGGCUGUAGUCGGUCCCAAGGGUUGGGCUGUUCGCCCAUUAAAGCGGUACGCGAGCUGGGUUCAGAACGUCGUGAGACAGUUCGGUCCCUAUCCGUCGUGGGCGUAGGAAAUUUGAGAGGAGCUGUCCUUAGUACGAGAGGACCGGGAUGGACAUACCUCUGGUGUACCAGUUGUCGUGCCAACGGCAUAGCUGGGUAGCUAUGUGUGGACGGGAUAAGUGCUGAAAGCAUCUAAGCAUGAAGCCCCCCUCAAGAUGAGAUUUCCCAACUUCGGUUAUAAGAUCCCUCAAAGAUGAUGAGGUUAAUAGGUUCGAGGUGGAAGCAUGGUGACAUGUGGAGCUGACGAAUACUAAUCGAUCGAAGACUUAAUCAA